AGAGUUUGAUCAUGGCUCAGGAUGAACGCUGGCGGCGUGCUUAACACAUGCAAGUCGAACGGAGAUAUUUGAAAGCUUGCUUUAGAUAUCUUAGUGGCGGACGGGUGAGUAACGCGUGGGUAACCUACCCUGUACAGGGGGAUAGCAGUUGGAAACGACUGAUAAAACCGCAUAAAACGGCAGUACCGCAUGGUACAACCGUCAAAUAUUCAUAGGUACAGGAUGGGCCCGCGUCUGAUUAGCUAGUUGGUGGGGCAACGGCCUACCAAGGCGACGAUCAGUAGCCGGCCUGAGAGGGUGAACGGCCACAUUGGGACUGAGACACGGCCCAAACUCCUACGGGAGGCAGCAGUGGGGAAUAUUGGACAAUGGGGGAAACCCUGAUCCAGCGAACCGCCGCGUGAGUGAAGAAGUAUUUCGGUAUGUAAAGCUCUAUCAGCAGGGAAGAUGAUGACGGUACCUGACUAAGAAGCACCGGCUAAAUACGUGCCAGCAGCCGC
rnacentral:rRNA from 1 species